rnacentral:lncRNA from 1 species
GGGGAGUUGUCUUAUUUAUUAUGCACAGUAUCAAAAAAAUAGUUCAAGAUGGGCGAUGCACAGAUUUUGAGCGAUUUAGAGAGCAAUUUGCAGACUUUUUUCUUCUUCCAUUUAAAAGAGAAGAACACAAAUGACUUCAUUGAAUUUGUGGCAUGUUGGCUGGGGGAUUCUGGGAGUUGAAGUCCAUCCAUCUUCAAGCAUGCUAGAUGGAGGAUUCUGGGAGUUGAAGUCCAUCCAUCUUCAAGCAUGCUGGCUGGGGGAUUCUGGGAGUUGAAGUCCACCCGUCUUUAAUUCUCCAUUGUGCCUUCUCUAGUGACUUAAUUCCUAGCGGCCCUCCAUCUCCUUGGAGAGGUGACAACAGGGAGGAAGAGAGAUUACAGACGCUUCAAAUAGUCUUCCAAAGGCUGCAGAAUUUCUACAGGGACGAGCUCCACCAAGUGAUCCUUUCUCCACCUCCAAACCUCCAUGUUCUGGUCAGAGAGCCCUUCACAGCGCAGGCCAUUCAGGAGAUGAAGAAAUUGGUGCAGCUUUUGCUAGGAAGUGCCGUUCAGGUAGGUUGUGGGAAUCUAGCAAGGGAUGAUGAGAUCUUUCAUUGGUUUGCGGUGCUGGGUGGUUCCCCUUGCUGCGUGGGUUUCCC